AUCCACCUAGUCUUCCACGUAUCCCAGCUCAAGCCAUUCACCCCCAACUAUACACCGGUCUUCUCCGAGCUGCCACGACCCCCAGACCUCGCCGGCCAUGACGACGAACCGGUGGAAAUCCUGGAGCGGCGCAUGGUCAAGCGCGGUAACAGCGCCUUAGUGCAGGUUAAGGUGCGCUGGCGCAACAACGAGACAGCGACGACGACGUGGGAGGACUACGACACCCUUAGCCGCCGUUUUCCACAAGCCCCGGCGUGGGACGCACCAUCGGCCGACGACGAGGACCAGCGCGCAGAACCUAAAGACGGCGCCCGUUCUGAAGGAGUGGGGAAUGUCACACCUGCAUCACCAAGAGAUGAUGCGGUGAACGCGUGA
rnacentral:rRNA from 1 species